UACGGGGGGAGCAAGCGUUGUUCGGAUUUACUGGGCGUAAAGGGCGCGUAGGCGGCCACCGCAAGUCGGUUGUGAAAUCUCCGGGCUUAACCCGGAAAGGUCAAUCGAUACUGCGGGGCUAGAGUGCAGAAGGGGCAACUGGAAUUCUCGGUGUAGCGGUGAAAUGCGUAGAUAUCGAGAGGAACACCUGCGGCGAAGGCGGGUUGCUGGGCUGGCACUGACGCUGAAGCGCGAAAGCUAGGGGAGCGAACGGG
rnacentral:rRNA from 1 species